rnacentral:tRNA from 1 species
UCUUUAGUAGCUCAGUUGGUAGAGCAAGUGGCUGUUAACCACCUGGAAGUUGGUUCGAGUCCAACCUAAAGAG